rnacentral:rRNA from 1 species
UGGGGAAUUUUGGACAAUGGGCGAAAGCCUGAUCCAGCAAUGCCGCGUGUGUGAAGAAGGCCUUCGGGUUGUAAAGCACUUUUGUCCGGAAAGAAAUCCUUGGCUCUAAUACAGUCGGGGGAUGACGGUACCGGAAGAAUAAGCACCGGCUAACUACGUGCCAGCAGCCGCGGUAAUACGUAGGGUGCAAGCGUUAAUCGGAAUUACUGGGCGUAAAGCGUGCGCAGGCGGUUUGCUAAGACCGAUGUGAAAUCCCCGGGCUCAACCUGGGAACUGCAUUGGUGACUGGCAGGCUAGAGUAUGGCAGAGGGGGGUAGAAUUCCACGUGUAGCAGUGAAAUGCGUAGAGAUGUGGAGGAAUACCGAUGGCGAAGGCAGCCCCCUGGGCCAAUACUGACGCUCAUGCACGAAAGCGUGGGGAGCAAACAGGAUUAGAUACCCUGGUAGUCCACGCCCUAAACGAUGUCAACUAGUUGUUGGGGAUUCAUUUCCUUAGUAACGUAGCUAACGCGUGAAGUUGACCGCCUGGGGAGUACGGUCGCAAGAUUAAAACUCAAAUGAAUUGNC